GCUUGGUCAUCUGAAACUUCGUCAUAGAUGAAGCUUUUGAUGGUAAAGAUGAAGAUGGACCCGGCGAUGUUAGAAACCAGUAGAGAAGGUUGGGUGACGGCGGGGGACAUGGAUAACUAACCCACUCUAAUUGUAUAUACCUUCAAACCUUUAACAAAAUAUAUAUUGAUUAAAUGACGGCUGUUAUAGGCUCCUUGUCACACGUUUAUCUUUAAUUACUCCUUUAACACUGUCACCAAAUAUGAUAUUUCUUUU
rnacentral:lncRNA from 1 species